AAUGAACGCUGGCGGCAGGCCUAACACAUGCAAGUCGAACGGAUCCUUCGGGAUUAGUGGCGGACGGGUGAGUAACGCGUGGGAACAUACCCUUUGGUACGGAAUAGCCUCGGGAAACUGGGAGUAAUACCGUAUGUGGUCGAGAGACGAAAGAUUUAUCGCCAAAGGAUUGGCCCGCGUUGGAUUAGGUAGGUGGUGGGGUAAUGGCCUACCAAGCCGACGAUCCAUAGCUGGUUUGAGAGGAUGAUCAGCCACACUGGGACUGAGACACGGCCCAGACUACUACGGGAGGACGCAGUGGGGAAUCUUAGACAAUGGGGGAAACCCUGAUCUAGCCAUGCCGCGUGAUAGAUGAAGGCCUUAGGGUUGUAAAGAUCUUUCAGGUGGGAAGAUAAUGACUGUACCACCAGAAGAAGCCCCGGCUAACUCCGUGCCAGCCGCCGCAGUAAGAC
rnacentral:rRNA from 1 species